rnacentral:rRNA from 1 species
UACGGGGGGGGCAAGCGUUGUUCGGAAUUACUGGGCGUAAAGGGCUCGUAGGCGGCCAACUAAGUCAGACGUGAAAUCCCUCGGCUUAACCGGGGAACUGCGUCUGAUACUGGAUGGCUUGAAUCCGGGAGAGGGAUGCGGAAUUCCCGGUGUAGAGGUGAAAUUCGUAGAUAUCGGGAGGAACACCAGUGGCGAAGGCGGCGACCUGGACCGAUACUGACGCUGAGACACGAAAGCGUGGGGAGCAAACAGG